GUCAGAUCGCGACCGGCCAAGUCCAGACGCAUGAUGGCGUGGGGGAGAGCGUAACCCUCAUAGACUGGGACAUUGUGGGUCACACCAUCACCGGCGUCCAGCACGAUACCUGCGGAGCGUCACAUACGUCAUGAGCGCCAGAACGCGGAUGUAUAAACGACUGUUUGCUAAAAUUGAAUUAAAUCGGAGAAUCGAAAUUUUGGACCGGUUUUAAACUAAGGAUGAUAUGAACGCACCAGUGGUACGGCCGGAGGCGUACAGGGACAGCACAGCCUGGAUGGCCACAUACAUUGCUGGGACGUUGAAGGUCUCAAACAUGAUCUGCAAGUGAAAACAAGCCAAGU